UGGGGCCAUAAUCUAAUAGGAUUGGUGGCCUUAUAAGAAGAAAAAGAGAGGGAACUCUCUCUCUGUCUCUCUGCCUCUCCCUCCCUCCCUCCAUGUACACAGACUGAGGAGAGGCCAUGUGAGGACACAGUGAGACAGUGACCAUUUGCAAGACAGGAAGAGAGCUGUCACCAGAACCUGAACCCUGCAGGAACCUUGAUCUUGGACUUUCCAGCCUCCCGAACUAUGAGUUGGCCUAAAAGAAAGGACAGUCCAGUAGCAACAAGCACACCCAGUACGAAGAUCUUGGUUUGUAAUACCAUUCUCUGCUAAAAGGAGUCGGAUUCCUCGGAGAAAGGACUGAUCGUAGGACUGCAGCAAGAAAUACCCAAGAUGAGCCUGGAGCAUCUUGUGGUGCCAGGAAGUAAGGAAGUGCUCAAAGGGAACAUCUGGAGAGGGGAAAAAAGUGGCUUUGGAAAGCUGUUCAGCUCACAGAACACUGAGGCUGAGCAAACAUUCCAGCUUUCCCUCGCUGGCCAUCACUCACACCCAAUGUAUUUAUUCUUUUUCUCUGACAAGAGAGCAACAUUUGGAAUAGCUCAAGCUGCUGAGUUAAUCAUCGAGACGCCAUGGGGAUGUUUUAAGCUGUGGGCCUACCCACCUCGUAUGAUUUGGUGUCAACACAUCCACUGGACUGAGUAAGGCAAGCACUGCAGCUUGUCCGAGGCGGAGGAAUCAGAUUUGCUACCUUCCAAUUUUCCCAUCUCUGUUUAAAGCAUCCACGCCAACGACGAUGGUCAGGAAGACCAAGAUACCUGGAACGUCAACUAGAAAAAGAAUUAAAGAGAGAAUUUCUACCUUUCCUUUCCAGGUAGCAACGAUAUUGUAAAAAUUUCUUUGACAUUCUUUAAGAAAAUCUCAAAAGCAUUUUUCUUUUCUCUUAUUUCUAUGAUGCUUUUAUCUUAAAUUUCUCCUAUUGUGGCACGGUUGUUUAAUACACUGGAAUUAAAGUAUUAGAA
rnacentral:lncRNA from 1 species